GUCUACAGCCAUGUUACCCUGAACAAGCCCGAUUCCAUCUGAUCUUGAAAGUUAAAAAGGAUCAGGCCUGGUUAGUACUUGGAUAGGAGACCACCUAGGAAGACCAGGUGCUGUAGGCG
rnacentral:rRNA from 1 species